rnacentral:tRNA from 1 species
GGUCCCGUGGCUCAACUGGAUAGAGCAGNNNCCCCCUCCUAAGGGGCAGGUUGCAGGUUCGAAUCCUGCCGGGACCGCCA